GACGAACGCUGGCGGCGUGCUUAACACAUGCAAGUCGAACGGAAAGGCCCUGCUUUUGUGGGGUGCUCGAGUGGCGAACGGGUGAGUAACACGUGAGUAACCUGCCCUUGACUUUGGGAUAACUUCAGGAAACUGGGGCUAAUACCGGAUAGGAGCUCCUGCUGCAUGGUGGGGGUUGGAAAGUUUCGGCGGUUGGGGAUGGACGCGCGGCUUAUCAGCUUGUUGGUGGGGUAGUGGCUUACCAAGGCUUUGACGGGUAGCCGGCCUGAGAGGGUGACCGGCCACAUUGGGACUGAGAUACGGCCCAGACUCCUACGGGAGGCAGCAGUGGGGAAUAUUGCACAAUGGGCGGAAGCCUGAUGCAGCAACGCCGCGUGCGGGAUGACGGCCUUCGGGUUGAAAACCGCUUUCGCCUGUGACGAAGCGUGAGUGACGGUAAUGGGUAAAGAAGCACCGGCUAACUACGUG
rnacentral:rRNA from 1 species